UACGGGAGGCAGCAGUGAGGAAUUUUGCGCAAUGGGGGAAACCCUGACGCAGCAACGCCGCGUGAGUGAUGAAGGCUUUCGGGUCGUAAAGCUCUGUCAAGUGGGAAGAAUCCACGUAACAUUAAUACUGUUAUGUGCUGACGGUACCACUGAAGGAAGCACCGGCUAACUCCGUGCCAGCAGCCGCGGUAA
rnacentral:rRNA from 1 species